GAAGGUUUCUAAGCUUGCUAGAGG
rnacentral:miRNA from 1 species